AUCAGGAGCAGACUUCUUGGUUCAGAACCAUUUGGCUUACAGAAAGCAGCCGAUAUACUUCUAUUACUUUGACUACAUGGGAUCGGAAAGUUACGCAUCUCUGUAUAAUGAUACCAGCUUUGUUUGUGGAGCCAGCCAUACAGAUGAAUUAUUGUAUCUACUGUCUCGAAAUGUGGCUUUUCCGGGUUACAAGCCAACGUCAUUAGAUGAAAAAAUGACCACGACGAUGACAAGUUUAUGGUUUAACUUUGUUCGAUAUGGGAGUCCCACACCAGGAAAUGAAUCAGAGAUGCCGCUAUGGCGAAGGGUUGUCAGCAACAAUUUAGAAUAUUACCACAUUAAAGGACCGCGUA